UAAAUAAACUCGAUUAAACAAAGAAAAAAACUCAAGAAAAUGUAUGUAUAUAACGCCAGCCACACAAGUCAUAAAUACUUGUUAGCAAGGUCAAGGCUUAACAUGCACAUUGAUAGUACUUUAAUCUAAUAUUCAAAAGUCUACUGAAACCGUACUUUAUUAUAAGCAUGAAAGUAUUUCUACGUGCCACCAUAGGAUAAGACGUGCCGCUUAAGGAGCAUGAAACCGCGAGUACGAAGCGAAUUAAUGCGACUGUUUGUGCGUACUUGGAAGCCAGUUCGUUUGUGCCACACGCUGUGCCCCAUACAGCGGCAACUUCAUCAUUGUGCCAUAAACGUUGCCCCAACACACAUUUUACACGAACUCUCUCCGUAUAUAUAUAUUUUUAUAUAUAUAUCUCCGGCUGUUGGCGUAACUACUCUAUGGCUGUUUCGGGCUGUAACGGGUGGAAACUAUCUAAGAUUAUGCGAAAUGGCUGCACAUUCUACAUGUGGCGCAACCAAACGUUGCACAAACCUUUCGAAUAUUUUUGUUAUGCAUACGCAAGCAAGCAACAGCAGGAGCGGAUGCAGCAGCUGUAGCUGAGGAAUUCAAAUAAAAAUUGUUGCUUUUAAAUGGCGUGUCAGAGGUCACAGAUGAGCUCUGUGCCAUGGCGAGCAGCUUUUAAGUGUCAACCAAAAGGGCAAUUCAGUUCAAGUGGAGCACAAAGAGUAAGCUUAACAGGUGGUCAGUCAUUGCAAAAGGAUAUAUGGUUAUAUAUAUACAUCUUAUCAGUGCUUAGGAUAAAAACUUAAAGCAUGAUGUAUUUUAUUCAGGAAUUCUAAAUCGGUACACAGUUUCCCACUUAAAA